UACGUAGGGUGCGAGCGUUGUCCGAAUUCAUUGGGCGUAAAGCGCGUGUAGGCGGACUUCCAAGCCUGAGGUGAAAGGUUGGGGCUCAACCCCAUACAGUGCCUUGGGGACUGGUUGUCUGGAGGCAGGCAGAGGUAUGUGGAAUUCCUGGUGUAGCGGUGGAAUGCGUAGAUAUCAGGAGGAACACCCAUGGCGAAGGCAGCAUACUGGGCCUGUACUGACGCUGAGACGCGAAAGCGUGGGUAGCAAACGGG
rnacentral:rRNA from 1 species